AGUUGCAGGAAGGAGACAGGCAGUUCAGGAGGUGGCACUGCUGUGUGUGAGCUGUCUGUGUUUUCCUUCUCAG
ensembl:miRNA MIR6876 microRNA 6876